rnacentral:rRNA from 1 species
CGGAUUACAGCCUGCAACCCGGCUGUAUGAAGCUGGAAUCGCUAGUAAUCGCAGAUCAGAAUGCUGCGGUGAAUACGUUCCCGGGUCUUGUACACACCGCCCGUCACACCAUGGGAGCCAGGAAUGCCCGAAGCCAGUGGCCUAACCGCAAGGGAGGAGCUGUCGAAGGCAGGCCCGGUAACUGGGGUGAAGUCGUAACAAGGUAUC